AGUAAGAUAAGCUAAAAAAGCUUUUGGGCCCAUACCCCAAAUAUGAUGUUACUCACAUCUCUUACUA
rnacentral:tRNA from 1 species